UCUCAAUUUGCAGAUGGUGUGAUCCUAUGCAUAGAAAAUCCCAAAUAAUACCUACAGAUGCAAACACACAUACAUGCACACAGAGGCCAGUCACACACACACACACACACACACACUCACAUACACACACUACUAGAGUUAAUAAGCGAAUUCAGCAAACUUUCAGCAAACAAUCAGUUGUGUUAGCAAUGAACAAUCUGAGAAGAAAAUUGACACAAUGAUUUCAUUUAUAAUAGCACUGGUAAGAAUAAUAUGCCUGGGAAUAAAUUUGUUCAAGAAGGUGCAGUACUUGUACACAGACAACUACAGAACAUUGCUCGAGGAGAUUCAGGAAGACCUAAAUCAAUGGACAGACAUCUUGUGUCCAUGGGUUGGAAGUUGUAACAUGGUUAAGAUAAAAAUACAACUCAAAGCAACCCACAGAUUCAAUACAAUCCUAUCAAAAAGUGGCCUUUUUUACAGGAAUGCCUAACAAGAACUUCAUAUUCCUAAAAAAUAGUGUGUCCCCCCAAAACAAAAGCAAUCUUGAAAUGCAAGAAGAAACAUUUUCUAUUCCAAAGGUCUUUAACUGCUCUAAGCAGUACUUGGUAGUCUUCAAUAUAUAGGCUUUCACAUCUCUUUUUUUCUUCUUUUGUUUCUGCACAGGAUCUCACUCUUUCACCCAGGCUCACACCACCAAACCCGGAUAAUUUUUCUGAUUUUCAGUAGAGAUGAGGGCUCACUAUGUUGCCUAGGCUAGUUUCAAGCUUAUGAGAUCAAGCAACCCUCCUGCCACAGCCUUCCAAAGUGCUGGGAUUUGAGGCCAAGCCUGGCUGGCUUUCAUGUCUUUUCUAUGUAGUUUAUAUUUCUGGAUGCCAUUGAGAGUCUGGCUGGCUUUCACAUAUUUGCUAUGUCGUUUAUAUUUCUUGAUGCUAUUGUAAAUGUUUAUUAAAGGAAUCUUUUAAAAACUUUGUUUUGGCCAGGCGCGGUGGUCCAUGCCUGUAAUCCUACCACUUUGGGAGGCCGAGGUGGGUGGAUCAUGAGGUUAGAAGAUCGAGACCAUCCUGGCUAACAUGGUGAAACCCCAUCUCUACUAAAAAUACAAAAAAA
rnacentral:lncRNA from 10 species